AUACGUAGGGGGCAAGCGUUAUCCGGAUCUACUGGGUGUAAAGGGAGCGUAGACGGUGUGACAAGUCUGAUGUGAAAACCCGGGGCUCAACUCCGGGAUUGCAUUGGAAACUGCCAUACUUGAGUGCAGGAGAGGUAAGCGGAAUUCCUAGUGUAGCGGUGAAAUGCGUAGAUAUUAGGAGGAACACCGGCGGCGAAGGCGGCUUACUGGACUGUAACUGACGUUGAGGCUCGAAAGCGUGGGGAGCAAACAGGAUUAGAUACCCUGGUAGUCCACGCGGUAAACGAUGAAUACUAGGUGUUGGGGGUCUAUAGACCCUCGGUGCCGCAGCAAACGCAAUAAGUAUUCCACCUGGGGAGUACGUUCGCAAGAAUGAAACUCAAAGGAAUUGACGGGG
rnacentral:rRNA from 1 species